ensembl:lncRNA LINC01783 long intergenic non-protein coding RNA 1783
GACGCACGACCGACUGGUCACUUGCUGCCACCUCGCAAAGGCGCAUCUCUAGUCCAGUGGUGAGCUGCGGCCGGGUCGCUGCAACUCGCUCCAGGCCUUCGGACUCGUGGCCUCGGUGUCCCUCGCGGAGCCCUCGGUGUGUCGCUUGCAGGCUCUUUUUUUGAAGAAAGCAGGGAGGGAAUGGCCUUGUGAGAGACUCCAGGAGCAAAGAGCGACCCUCACAAGGCCCAAGUCCUCCCAGAGCUCAGGGAAGCUGUCGCUUCUGACAGAAGAAGGGAGAGAAAGCUCCCUCCUGUGUGUCCCUGGUGGUCUAGUGGCUAGGAUUCGGCGCUUUCACCGCCGCGGCCCGGGUUCGAUUCCCGGUCAGGGAAUUGUUUUACACUGGCCGCCCUCCCGCAGGAAUCUUCCUUCACUACGCUGUCAGCCAGCCUGCUCCAAGGGCCAGAAGCAGAACAGUCUCCGCAGCGGGGUUAAAGCCGGGCGAAGGAGGGCAAGUGCUUGUGGACCACCUCUCACGACACACCGUUCCUAUUUGUCUCCGUGUCCGUCAUCCGCGGGAGCAGCUUUAGAGAGCGACUGAGCUUCUCGCUCAGGUGUACACAGCCCGGCAGAGAUGCCAGCCCCCGUGGAGCUGCACCCAAUAAGCCCACCUUCUUUCCCGUCGCCACCCCGGAGACGCCCAUCGGGCUGAGCUGCGAAUAACUAAGAGAGAGGCCAAGCCAAGUCGUGGCGUUUGUGGCAGCCCCGGACACGGGCACCAGCCAGUCAGCGGAGCCUCCUCACCUCCGUUGCCAGCGAAGGCGCUCGUUAGGCCUUGGGAAGAGGCGACCGGAGGCGAUGCCCGCGAAUUUGUUAGGGGGGUAAGCGGCGGGUGAGGUCCUCGAGGGCGGUCCCGUUUGCUGAUUGAGUGGUAGACGGAGGCGAUGUUCGCUGACCCAACAAGGACAGCAGGUGGAGUAGGCACAGACGGAAAACUGCUGCCGGUGCCCUAAGCAGAAGGCAGGUGGAAAAAUCAGCACUAGGACGUCGAAGCGAUGGUACCACAGUCAAAUCCCACGACGUCUACACUCUACCAAGCACUUGCGCACGCUCCCCCUUUUCCAUUCAGUACUCCCAAGAGGGGUUCGGAAGAACCCCGAGUCCACUGUAAGCUCAGGGGAGAGCGGGAGCCAGGGAGGUGAAGUGCGCAGACUCGGCAGAGGCGGCGGGCAGAACCGCGCGGGGGGGAGAGACCGUGGUCACGAAGGGGGUUCUCCCAGAGUGAAGCUUCUUCAUCUCACUCUAGAGUUGCUGAUCCCUGUGAUUUCCUCCAUGUGGGAAAUGGUGUUUGUGGUAGAAGAGGCUGCGCUCUUUACCUGACAUAACGGGGUUCAAGACUGACAACGCCUCACGCCCAUCCAAAAACGUUUACAUGGCUUCCUUGUCUCUUUUUUUUUUUCUGUCCUAAAGUCGCCUUAUCUUCACAUCCCCUCUUUUUUUUCUUCCACACUCGAGAGUGUCUCUCUCAUUAAAAGCUCCACCAAAUAUUUGAAAUAUCUCAACCAGAAA